AGAGUUUGAUCAUGGCUCAGAUUGAACGCUGGCGGCAUGCCUUACACAUGCAAGUCGAACGGCAGCACGGGGGCAACCCUGGUGGCGAGUGGCGAACGGGUGAGUAACACAUCGGAACGUACCCAGUUGUGGGGGGAUAACCCACCGAAAGGUGGGCUAAUACCGCAUGAUCUGGCGACAGCAAAGCGGGGGACUGGUAACGGCCUCGCGCGAUUGGAGCGGCCGAUGUCCGAUUAGCUAGUUGGUGGGGUAAAGGCCUACCAAGGCGACGAUCGGUAGCUGGUCUGAGAGGAUGAUCAGCCACACUGGGACUGAGACACGGCCCAGACUCCUACGGGAGGCAGCAGUGGGGAAUUUUGGACAAUGGGGGCAACCCUGAUCCAGCCAUGCCGCGUGAGUGAAGAAGGCCUUCGGGUUGUAAAGCUCUUUCGGUAGGAACGAAACGGUUACGACUAAUACUCGUGACUAAUGACGGUACUUACAGAAGAAGCACCGGCUAACUACGUGCCAGCAGCCGCGGUAAUACGUAGGGUGCGAGCGUUAAUCGGAAUUACUGGGCGUAAAGCGUGCGCAGGCGGUUAUUUAAGUCAGGUGUGAAAGCCCUGGGCUUAACCUAGGAAUUGCGCUUGAGACUGGAUAGCUUGGAGUGCGGCAGAGGGAGGUGGAAUUCCACGUGUAGCAGUGAAAUGCGUAGAGAUGUGGAGGAACACCGAUGGCGAAGGCAGCCUCCUGGGCCAGCACUGACGCUCAUGCACGAAAGCGUGGGGAGCAAACAGGAUUAGAUACCCUAGUAGUCC
rnacentral:rRNA from 1 species